rnacentral:rRNA from 1 species
GCAUGUCUAAGUACAAACUAUAUUAAAGUGAAACCGCGAAAGGCUCAUUAAAUCAGUUAUGGUUCCUUAGAUCGUACCCACAAUUACUUGGAUAACUGUGGUAAUUCUAGAGCUAAUACAUGCAAACAGAGCUCUAACCGGUGACGGAAGGAGUGCUUUUAUUAGAUCAAAACUAAUCGGCGUCGGUAACGUUUCGGCGUUAUCGUUCGUCGCUCAAUAUAUGGUGAAUCUGAAUAACUUUAUGCUGAUCGCAUGGUCUUGUACCGGCGACGCAUCUUUCAAAUGUCUGCCUUAUCAACUGUCGAUGGUAGGAUCUGCGCCUACCAUGGUUGUAACGGGUAACGGGGAAUCAGGGUUCGAUUCCGGAGAGGGAGCCUGAGAAACGGCUACCACAUCCAAGGAAGGCAGCAGGCGCGCAAAUUACCCACUCCCGGCACGGGGAGGUAGUGACGAAAAAUAACGAUACGGGACUCAUCCGAGGCCCCGUAAUCGGAAUGAGUACACUUUAAAUCCUUUAACAAGGACCAAUUGGAGGGUAAGUCUGGUGCCAGCAGCCGCGGUAAUUCCAGCUCCAAUAGCGUAUAUUAAAGUUGUUGCGGUUAAAAAGCUCGUAGUUGAAUUUGUGUCCCGCACUGUCGGUACACCGCCCGCGGUGCUAACUGGCAUGUUUGCGGGACGUCCUGCCGGUGGAUGUAUGUAGAUUGAUUUAAACGUCUUUCUGCACAUCCGACUUAUGAAUCCUGUCGCGGUGCUCUUAAUUGAGUGUCGAGGUGGGCCGGCACGUUUACUUUGAACAAAUUAGAGUGCUUAAAGCAGGCUAAUGAAUGCCUGAAUAAUUAGUGCAUGGAAUAAUGGAACAGGACCUUGGUUCUAUUUUGUUGGUUUUCGGAACCCCAAGGUAAUGAUUAAUAGGGACAGAUGGGGGCAUUCGUAUUGCGACGUUAGAGGUGAAAUUCUUGGAUCGUCGCAAGACGGACUAAAGCGAAAGCAUUUGCCAAAGAUGUUUUCAUUAAUCAAGAACGAAAGUCAGAGGUUCGAAGGCGAUCAGAUACCGCCCUAGUUCUGACCAUAAACGAUGCCAGCUAGCGAUCCGCCAAAGUUCCUCCGAUGACUUGGCGGGCAGCUUUCGGGAAACCAAAGCUUUUGGGUUCCGGGGGAAGUAUGGUUGCAAAGCUGAAACUUAAAGGAAUUGACGGAAGGGCACCACCAGGAGUGGAGCCUGCGGCUUAAUUUGACUCAACACGGGAAACCUCACCAGGCCCAGACACUGGAAGGAUUGACAGAUUGAGAGCUCUUUCUUGAUUCAGUGGGUGGUGGUGCAUGGCCGUUCUUAGU